rnacentral:rRNA from 1 species
CUUGGUCAUUUAGAGGAAGUAAAAGUCGUAACAAGGUUUCCGUAGGUGAACCUGCGGAAGGAUCAUUAUCGAAUAAACUUGAACAGGUUGUUGCUGACCCCCUAGCUAGGGUAUGUGCACGCUUGUCAUCUUUAUCUCUCCAACUUGUGCACAUAUUGUAGACCUUUGGAGGGUUGGAUUUGUUUCCGAGUUGGGACUGCUGUGAAAUCAGCUUUUCCCUUGCAGGGGUCUAUGUCCUUUUUCACAAACCUAUGAAUCUGUUUUAGAAUGUUAUAAAUAAAAAGUUAAUUAUACAACUUUCAGCAACGGAUCUCUUGGCUCUCGCAUCGAUGAAGAACGCAGCGAAAUGCGAUAAGUAAUGUGAAUUGCAGAAUUCAGUGAAUCAUCGAAUCUUUGAACGCAUCUUGCGCUCCUUGGUAUUCUGAGGAGCAUGCCUGUUUGAGUGUCAUUCAAAUUCUCAAGACCAUGUUGAUUUGUUUUCGAUGUGGCCUUGGAUGUUGGGGGUCUUUUGUGCAGGCCUCUUGAGGUCAGCUCCCCUGAAAUGCAUUAGUAGUAUCUGAGCUACCACAGGUGUGUGAUAAAUCUAUCUAUGCCUUGGUGAAGCUAUUGCGCUGCUUAUAACGAACCACAAUGCUUGAUGAAUUUGACCUCAAAUCAGGUAGGACUACCCGCUGAACUUAAGCAUAUCAAUAAGCGGAGGA